CUAAGUAACUCAAGAAUGAUAUUUGGGACCCAACAACCGCUUUUGAUAACCAUCUUCUGGGGUAACUCCAACCCUGGCUAGUGGCCGCUUGGCAUUGCUCAAAUCAUCCCUGUAGACUUCAUCAUGUGCUCGCUGCUUCAUGGGCUGACCUUAAGUUAACAGAGGGCUGCUGGAAGGGGAUAUGUAUGCCCUCGUGUCUCUCUUCAGGGGAUAUACAUUGCCCGAAAAGAAAAUGCUGAUUCUUCCCUUCAGUCCCACCACUGAUGCUGCAUACCCAGACUGAUGCCAUCAGACCUGAGAAUUGUGUCUCAGCUCUCCUAGGCCUUCCAGCUCCAUUGCCAACAAGCACUGGGUGACAGGUCCUUGAGAAGGAUACUUCGUCCUGUGAAGAAAACCCCUGGUCUCAUGUCAUUUCACACCUUCGAAGUUUGGCCUGUGAUCUUAAAAUACAUGAAUGUUCCUUAUACAGCUGCAACCUCAUGAAGGUCCCUCUCAAAAACAGUACAAGGACUCAACUUUGUGGAGACCACAAGUGGUGUAUGGACAGAGAGGCCUGAGACGACAUUCCCAGCGAUCACAAUAUACAGACUUAAAAAGUGCUAAAUCUCAAAGACAUUGAGCAGAAGAAAGAAGAUGUUAUCAAAGACUGAGUCAGAUCAUCUGAAAAGGAGCUGGAAUGGAGAUGAAGGUCUGAAUAAAGGGACACCAAAAGCAGUAUCUCCAGAUAAGUACAUUUAUGCAUGUAACCGCAAAUACGCAUAUGGUUAAG